rnacentral:rRNA from 1 species
GGGGAAUAUUGGGCAAUGGGCGAAAGCCUGACCCAGCCACGCCGCGUGAGUGAUGAAGGCCUUCGGGUCGUAAAGCUCUGUGGGGAGGGACGAACAAAUCUGGGGCUAAUCACCCGGAUCCUGACGGUACCUCCUUAGCAAGCACCGGCUAACCCUGUGCCAGCAGCCGCGGUAAGACGAAGGGGGCUAGCGUUGUUCGGAAUUACUGGGCGUAAAGCGAGUGUAGGUGGUUGUCCAAGUUGGAUGUGAAAGCCUUGAGCUCAACUCAAGAAAUGCAUUCAGGACUGGGCGACUAGAGGACCGGAGAGGAUAGUGGAAUUCCCAGUGUAGUGGUGAAAUACGUAGAGAUUGGGAAGAACACCAGUGGCGAAGGCGGCUAUCUGGACGGUUUCUGACGCUAAGACGCGAAAGCGUGGGGAGCAAAC